GCUUGCACAGGUGCUGCAUGGCUGUCGUCAGCUCGUGUCGUGAGAUGUUCGGUUAAGUCCGCUAACGAGCGCAACCCUCGCUGUGUGUUAUAUGUGUCACACGGGACUGCCGGUCUUAAGCCGGAGGAAGGUGGGGAUGAUGUCAAGUCAGCAUGGCCUUUAUAUCCUGGGCUACACACACGCUACAAUGGCCAACACAAUAGGUUGCUAAACCGCGAGGUGGCGCCAAUCCAUAAAGUUGGUCUCAGUUCAGAUUGUAGGCUGCAACCCGCCUGCAUGAAGAUGGAGUUGCUAGUAACCGCAGGUCAGCUAUACUGCGGUGAAUACGUUCCCGGGGCUU
rnacentral:rRNA from 1 species